rnacentral:lncRNA from 1 species
UAAAUUAGGUGAAUAUUUCUCGACGACCAGCUCCGUAGUUAGGAGCAGGUACGGCCUUAACCCCUUCAAUUAAAUAGAACAAUAUCAGUUUUAAUCUCUCUCAAAAUAUCCAUUUUAAACAUUUUUAAAGUGUCUCAAAUCUCAAUAUCGAAUCUUUAACUUUUCCCAGUAAGCAAUGAUCCUCUCUUAACUCCAAUAAACUUGUCAAAACAAUAUAAC